GUGGUGAGGAACUGCGAGAUUAGUGGUGGUUUCGAAAAGGAGGUAAGCAGCGAAUGGUUGCCGUUCGUGAUGAUGCGGUAGAGUUAAAAGUCAAGCAAUAUCAAGUAGCAUUUUUAAGUUUUUUUUUUUUUUUUUUUUUAAGCAUCUGGUUUCAAAUUGGCAUUGCAGAGCGAAAUCAUAACAGGCCCACCUCAUCAUCUUUGGAAAUAACCUCAAAACUGACCUCUAAAACUCCUGGUUCAAGAAAGUUGGAUGAGUU
rnacentral:misc_RNA from 1 species